CUUUGCCCUCAGUCAUGGUGAGGCAAGGGUGCUGGAGUUUCCUCACCCCAGCAGGCUUUGCUGUCAUUAGGAAGGAGGGAAGAAAGUCUCCUGUGCUAUGAGACAUAGCAUACUAUAUGCCUAUAGUAUGUAACAGUGACUACAAAGCCUUUAGGAACAAAGGGUGUCUUCUUAACCUUCCAAAUAAAUCUAGAGUCUUACUUUUCAUCACACAGAGAAAGGAGAGAUCUCUAUCGGCUGACAUUGUCUUCAGAGACAUGGUGCCCUCACAGUCCAGCCAGCUGUUCCCUUUUAGUAGAUUUUAAUAAUUCCCCUACUCUUCCUCUCUUUGUUCUUCUCACUGGCUGGGGCAGCUUGGAUUUGGUCAAAGGGCUCAUUAGGACACAGUUUCAUUUUGAUGGGGCUUGUUCAGAAUUUACCACAAUCUGUAUAGAUCUGUCUGGCUUUCUUGCUGCCUUCCUGUUCCCUGGGAUUUGGAUGUUGAUGUCUUACUGUGGUUUCUCUCUGGCUUUGUCUUCAAAUUAAGCUUACUUACUUGCUGUACCAUUAUUUUGGAUGUGAUCCACCUUGGGUUUUUUGUUUUGUUUUGUUUGGUUUGGUUUGGUUUGGUUUUUUUGAGACAGGCUUUCUCAUUGACCUUAGACUUACCAAAUAGGCUAGAUUGGAUGUCCAGCAAGUUCCAGGGACCUACAUCUUUCUGUUUCUCCACGUCUGGAAUUACAUGUUGAACGCCACCACAUCUGGUUUUCUUUUCUUUUUUGUUUGCUUGUUUGUUUUGUUGGUUGUUUGGUUAGUUGUUUUGUUUUGUUUUUUUUUCUUGUCUCUGGGGAUUAAGUUUGGGUCACCAUGCUUGCCUAGCAAGCAUUUUACUGACAGCUGUCUCCCUUUUACUGUUAGAUCAAAUGUACCUUCUAUUAAAUCUAAUAGAUUGCUAUAAAUAGU
rnacentral:lncRNA from 1 species